AUUGAACGCUGGCGGCAUGCUUUACACAUGCAAGUCGAACGGUAACAGGCCUUCGGGUGCUGACGAGUGGCGAACGGGUGAGUAAUGCAUCGGAACGUGCCCAGAGGUGGGGGAUAACGCAGCGAAAGCUGUGCUAAUACCGCAUAUUAUCUGAGGAUGAAAGCGGGGGACUAAGCAGCAAUGUUUGGCCUCGCGCCUUUGGAGCGGCCGAUGUCAGAUUAGGUAGUUGGUGGGGUAAAGGACCUACCAAGCCGACGAUCUGUAGCUGGUCUGAGAGGACGACCAGCCACACUGGGACUGAGACACGGCCCAGACUCCUACGGGAGGCAGCAGUGGGGAAUUUUGGACAAUGGGCGCAAGCCUGAUCCAGCAAUGCCGCGUGCAGGAAGAAGGCCUUCGGGUUUGGUAAACUAGCUUUUGUUACGGAACGAAAAGGACUCU
rnacentral:rRNA from 1 species